rnacentral:rRNA from 1 species
GACGGGGGCCCGCACAAGCGGCGGAGCAUGUGGAUUAAUUCGAUGCAACGCGAAGAACCUUACCUGGGUUUGACAUACACCGGAUCGGGCCAGAGAUGGUCUUUCCCUUUUGGGCUGGUGUACAGGUGGUGCAUGGUUGUCGUCAGCUCGUGUCGUGAGAUGUUGGGUUAAGUCCCGUAACGAGCGCAACCCUUGUCUUAUGUUGCCAGCACGUAAUGGUGGGGACUCAUGAGAGACUGCCGGGGUUAACUCGGAGGAAGGUGGGGAUGACGUCAAAUCAUCAUGCCCCUUAUGUCCAGGGCUUCACACAUGCUACAAUGGUCGGUACAAUAGGUUGCGAUACUGUAAAGUGGAGCUAAUCCUUUUAAAGCCGGCCUCAGUUCGGAUUGGGGUCUGCAACUCGACCCCAUGAAGUCGGAGUCGCUAGUAAUCGCAGAUCAGCA